rnacentral:rRNA from 1 species
GAUGAACGCUGGCGGCGUGCCUAAUACAUGCAAGUCGAGCGAACAGACGCGGAGCUUGCUCCUCUGACGUUAGCGGCGGACGGGUGAGUAACACGUGGAUAACCUACCUAUAAGACUGGGAUAACUUCGGGAAACCGGAGCUAAUCCCGGAUAAUAUAUUGAACCGCAUGGUUCAAUAGUGAAAUACGGUUUUGCUGUCACUUAUAGAUGGAUCCGCGCCGCAUUAGCUAGUUGGUAAGGUAACGGGUUACCAAGGCAACGAUGCGUAGCCGACCGGAGAGGCGGGUCGGCGACAUGGGAACGGAGACGCGCACCAGACUCCUACGGGAGGCAGCAGUAGGGAAUCUUCCGCAAAGGGCGGAAGCAUUACGGAGCGACGCGGAGUGAGUGAUGAAGGUGUUCGGAUCGUAAAACUCUGUUAUUAGGGAAGAACAAAUGUGUAAGUAACUAUGCACGGCGUGACGGUAACUAAUCAGAAAGCCACGGCUAACUACGUG